rnacentral:rRNA from 1 species
CCUACGGGAGGCAGCAGUGAGGAAUAUUGGUCAAUGGACGAGAGUCUGAACCAGCCAAGUAGCGUGAAGGAUGACUGCCCUAUGGGUUGUAAACUUCUUUUAUAAAGGAAUAAAACGAGGCACGUGUGCCUUUUUGCAUGUACUUUAUGACUAAGGCUCGGCUAACUCCGUGCCCGCAGCCGCGGUAAUACGGAGGAUCCGAGCGUUAUCCGGAUUUAUUGGGUUUAAAGGGAGCGUAGAUGGGUUGUUAAGUCAGUUGUGAAAGUUUGCGGCUCAACCGUAAAAUUGAAAUUGAUACUGGCAGUCUUGAGUACAGUUGAGGUAGGCGGAAUUCGUGGUGUAGCGGUGAAAUGCUUAGAUAUCACGAAGAACCCCGAUUGCGAAGGCAGCUUACUAAACUGUGACUGACAUUGAUGCUCGAAAGUGUGGGUAUCAAACAGGAUUAGAUACCCUUGUAGUC